UACGAAGGGGGCUAGCGUUGUUCGGAAUUACUGGGCGUAAAGCGCGCGCAGGCGGCUAUCCAAGUCAGUGGUGAAAGCCCGGAGCUCAACUCCGGAACUGCCAUUGAAACUGUUUAGCUUGAGGACGAGAGAGGUGAGUGGAAUUCCCAGUGUAGAGGUGAAAUUCGUAGAUAUUGGGAAGAACACCGGUGGCGAAGGCGGCUCUCUGGACCGUAACUGACGCUGAGGCGCGAAAGCGUGGGGAGCAAACAGG
rnacentral:rRNA from 1 species